ensembl:misc_RNA Metazoa_SRP Metazoan signal recognition particle RNA
GCCAGGCGUGGUGGUGCAUGCCUGUGAUCCCAGGUACUUGGGAGGCUGAGGUGGGAGGAUCGCAUGAGUCCAGGAGGUUGAGGCUGCAGUGAGCCAUGAUCAUGCCACUGCACUCCAGCCUGGGUGACAGAGCGAGACCCUGUCUCAA